rnacentral:sRNA from 1 species
GUGCGACCUCCGCCGAGUCCGGCGCGCCAGAGCGGCAGCCGGAGCCGGGGACCCACCGACCUUGGGGUGAAUCGACCCAACUCCCUUCCGGGGAAAGGGUCGUAGGGCAACCCUUCCGAACCACCCGCCCGAACCCGACAGCUAACUCGGUAGGCGGAACAUGGAAGGAGU